CAGCCGCCGCGGUAAUACAGAGGGUGCGAGCGUUAAUCGGAUUUACUGGGCGUAAAGCGUGCGUAGGCGGCUUCUUAAGUCGGAUGUGAAAUCCCUGAGCUUAACUUAGGAAUUGCAUUCGAUACUGGGAAGCUAGAGUAUGGGAGAGGAUGGUAGAAUUCCAGGUGUAGCGGUGAAAUGCGUAGAGAUCUGGAGGAAUACCGAUGGCGAAGGCAGUUAUCUGGCCUAAUACUGACGCUGAGGUACGAAAGCAUGGGGAGCAAACAGGAUUAGAUACCCCCGUAGUCCCUGUCUCUUAUAA
rnacentral:rRNA from 1 species